UACGGGGGGAGCAAGCGUUGUUCGGAUUUACUGGGCGUAAAGGGCGCGUAGGCGGUAGCACAAGUCAGUUGUGAAAUCUCCGAGCUUAACUCGGAAAGGUCAACUGAUACUGUGCGGCUAGAGUGCAGAAGGGGCAACUGGAAUUCUUGGUGUAGCGGUGAAAUGCGUAGAUAUCAAGAGGAACACCUGCGGCGAAGGCGGGUUGCUGGGCUGACACUGACGCUGAGGCGCGAAAGCUAGGGGAGCGAACGGG
rnacentral:rRNA from 1 species